AUGCCUUAGUACGGCGAGUGAAGCGGCAAAAGCUCAAAUUUGAAAUCUGGCGUCUUCGACGUCCGAGUUGUAAUUUGAAGAAGGCAACUUUGUAGCUGGUCCUUGUCUAUGUUCCUUGGAACAGGACGUCAUAGAGGGUGAGAAUCCCGUGUGGCGAGGAUCCCAGUUAUUUGUAAAGUGCUUUCGACGAGUCGAGUUGUUUGGGAAUGCAGCUCUAAGUGGGUGGUAAAUUCCAUCUAAAGCUAAAUAUUGGCGAGAGACCGAUAGCGAACAAGUACAGUGAUGGAAAGAUGAAAAGAACUUUGAAAAGAGAGUGAAAAAGUACGUGAAAUUGUUGAAAGGGAAGGGCAUUUGAUCAGACAUGGCGUUUGCUUCGGCUUUCGCUGGGCCAGCAUCAGUUUUAGCGGUUGGAUAAAUCCUCGGGAAUGUGGCUCUGCUUCGGUAGAGUGUUAUAGCCCGUGGGAAUACAGCCAGCUGGGACUGAGGAUUGCGACUUUUGUCAAGGAUGCUGGCGUAAUGGUUAAAUGCCGCCCGACUUGA
rnacentral:rRNA from 1 species